CAGGCCUAACACAUGCAAGUCGAGCGGUAGCACAGAGAGCUUGCUCUCGGGUGACGAGCGGCGGACGGGUGAGUAAUGUCUGGGAAACUGCCUGAUGGAGGGGGAUAACUACUGGAAACGGUAGCUAAUACCGCAUAAUGUCGCAAGACCAAAGUGGGGGACCUUCGGGCCUCAUGCCAUCAGAUGUGCCCAGAUGGGAUUAGCUAGUAGGUGGGGUAACGGCUCACCUAGGCGACGAUCCCUAGCUGGUCUGAGAGGAUGACCAGCCACACUGGAACUGAGACACGGUCCAGACUCCUACGGGAGGCAGCAGUGGGGAAUAUUGCACAAUGGGCGCAAGCCUGAUGCAGCCAUGCCGCGUGUGUGAAGAAGGCCUUCGGGUUGUAAAGCACUUUCAGCGGGGAGGAAGGCGUUGAGGUUAAUAACCUUGUCGAUUGACGUUACCCGCAGAAGAAGCACCGGCUAACUCCGUGCCAGCAGCCGCGGUAAUACGGAGGGUGCAAGCGUUAAUCGGAAUUACUGGGCGUAAAGCGCACGCAGGCGGUCUGUCAAGUCGGAUGUGAAAUCCCCGGGCUCAACCUGGGAACUGCAUUCGAAACUGGCAGGCUAGAGUCUUGUAGAGGGGGGUAGAAUUCCAGGUGUAGCGGUGAAAUGCGUAGAGAUCUGGAGGAAUACCGGUGGCGAAGGCGGCCCCCUGGACAAAGACUGACGCUCAGGUGCGAAAGCGUGGGGAGCAAACAGGAUUAGAUACCCUGGUAGUCCACGCCGUAAACGAUGUCGAUUUGGAGGUUGUGCCCUUGAGGCGUGGCUUCCGGAGCUAACGCGUUAAAUCGACCGCCUGGGGAGUACGGCCGCAAGGUUAAAACUCAAAUGAAUUGACGGGGGCCCGCACAAGCGGUGGAGCAUGUGGUUUAAUUCGAUGCAACGCGAAGAACCUUACCUGGUCUUGACAUCCACAGAACUUUCCAGAGAUGGAUUGGUGCCUUCGGGAACUGUGAGACAGGUGCUGCAUGGCUGUCGUCAGCUCGUGUUGUGAAAUGUUGGGUUAAGUCCCGCAACGAGCGCAACCCUUAUCCUUUGUUGCCAGCGGUUCGGCCGGGAACUCAAAGGAGACUGCCAGUGAUAAACUGGAGGAAGGUGGGGAUGACGUCAAGUCAUCAUGGCCCUUACGACCAGGGCUACACACGUGCUACAAUGGCAUAUACAAAGAGAAGCGACCUCGCGAGAGCAAGCGGACCUCAUAAAGUAUGUCGUAGUCCGGAUUGGAGUCUGCAACUCGACUCCAUGAAGUCGGAAUCGCUAGUAAUCGUAGAUCAGAAUGCUACGGUGAAUACGUUCCCGGGCCUUGUACACACCGCCCGUCACACCAUGGGAGUGGGUUGCAAAAGAAGUAGGUAGCUUAACCUUCGGAGGGC
rnacentral:rRNA from 1 species